rnacentral:rRNA from 1 species
AGAGUUUGAUCAUGGCUCAGGAUAAACGCUGGCGGCGUGCCUAACACAUGCAAGUCGAACGGAGACAAUAGCAAUAUUGUCUUAGUGGCGGACGGGUGAGUAAUGCGUGAGCAAUCUGCCUUUCAGAGGGGGACAACAGCUGGAAACGGCUGCUAAUACCGCAUAAUGUAUACGGACGGCAUCGGUUGUAUACCAAAGAUUUUAUCGCUGAAAGAUGAGCUCGCGUCUGAUUAGUUAGUUGGUGGGGUAACGGCCUACCAAGACAGCGAUCAGUAGCCGGACUGAGAGGUUGAACGGCCACAUUGGGACUGAGAUACGGCCCAGACUCCUACGGGAGGCAGCAGUGGGGAAUAUUGGGCAAUGGGGGAAACCCUGACCCAGCAACGCCGCGUGAAGGAAGAAGGCCUUCGGGUUGUAAACUUCUUUGAGGAAGGACGAUAAUGACGGUACUUCGAAAACAAGCCACGGCUAACUACGUGCCAGCAGCCGCGGUAAUACGUAGGUGGCAAGCGUUAUCCGGAUUUACUGGGUGUAAAGGGCGCGUAGGCGGGAUGAUAAGUCAGAUGUGAAAUCUCCAGGCUUAACUUGGGGCGUGCAUUUGAAACUGUUGUUCUUGAGUGUCGGAGAGGUAAGUGGAAUUCCUAGUGUAGCGGUGAAAUGCGUAGAUAUUAGGAGGAACACCAGUGGCGAAGGCGACUUACUGGACGAUAACUGACGCUGAGGCGCGAAAGCGUGGGGAGCAAACAGGAUUAGAUACCCUGGUAGUCCACGCCCUAAACGAUGAAUACUAGGUGUGGGGGGACUGACCCCCUCCGUGCCGGAGUUAACACAAUAAGUAUUCCACCUGGGGAGUACGGCCGCAAGGUUGAAACUCAAAUGAAUUGACGG